rnacentral:rRNA from 1 species
CCCUACGGGAGGCAGCAGUGGGGAAUAUUGGACAAUGGGGGGAACCCUGAUCCAGCGACGCCGCGUGAGUGAAGAAGUAUUUCGGUAUGUAAAGCUCUAUCAGCAGGGAAGAAAGAAAUGACGGUACCUGACUAAGAAGCCCCGGCUAACUACGUGCCAGCAGCCGCGGUAAUACGUAGGGGGCAAGCGUUAUCCGGAUUUACUGGGUGUAAAGGGAGCGUAGACGGCUGUGCAAGUCUGAAGUGAAAGCCCAGGGCUCAACCCUGGG